UACAGAGGGUGCGAGCGUUGUCCGGAAUCACUGGGCGUAAAGGGCGCGUAGGCGGCCCUCUUUGUCGCGUGCGAAAGCCCCGGGCUCAACCUGGGAACGGCGCGCGAAACGGGGGGGCUGGAGUUCGGGAGAGGAGCGUGGAAUUCCCAGUGUAGAGGUGAAAUUCGUAGAUAUUGGGAAGAACACCGGUGGCGAAGGCGGGGCUCUGGACCGAGACUGACGCUGAGGCGCGAAAGCGUGGGGAGCAAACAGG
rnacentral:rRNA from 1 species